AGUCGACGAGGGCGGAACAGGCAGCCGCCACGCCUUAGUGGUCUUAAAGAGAUGCGGGUAGGUCAUCCCGCCGUGGCU
rnacentral:ncRNA from 12 species